rnacentral:lncRNA from 1 species
AAAAAUUGUUCUGACUUUACCCUUGUAUGUGGUAAUUAUGGCUAUGGUUGAACUUGUUUGGUAUGUUUGGUAAAUAAACUAAUUGUUGCAUGAUUUUGAGUCAUGUUUGAUGCCAUUAAAUGUGAUGAUUUAGGCUUGCAUAAGCUUGAUAAGUUAAGGGUUGCAAAGUGAAGUAGUUAGGCAAAAUAAAUUGAUGAAUGGUUUGAAAAUGGAUAGGUUUUGGUUAUGAGUUUUUAUGCCAUUGGUAUGAUUGUCUUCAAAGGUGUUAUAGGUUUAAUUUGGCAUUGUAAUACCCAAUUUUUCCCCAGGCCUAUAAUACUAAUAAAAUAAAAAUAAUGUUCAGUCCAUUUACAACAAAAUAACGGCCCAAAAUCAAAACCCAACACCAGCCCAAUGCCCAGCACAAAUCAAGGCUGAAACCCUAGCAGCUUCUGGAACAACCUCAGCAGCACCGCGGCAACCAGCCCUUCCCUGCGUGUGUCGCAUCUCCGUACAUGUGUGCCUCUUCCACGACCUCCGUACCUGCGAAAAAAACGGAUCCAAACGGGAGUAGACGCGACAAAUAGCAGAAUAGAUAGAUUUUCCUUUAUACAUCUCGGCUAUAAAAAAGCCGAUUUCAAUCUGUAAAAAGGGGGGAUCAGAAAAAAAAAACUGUAAAAGGAAAAUCAAAAGCAAUACAAAAACAGUUUUCGAAAGGUGAUGGGAUUUUCUUCAUAUUUUCUUUCUUUUUGAUUUUUUUUGUCACUUAUUGAGUGUAAAGAAAAUAACAAAGAAGAAGAAAAGAGUUUACCAUAUAAGCGUCGUCGAAAUACCUCUUCGUUUCGUCUAGAUCGGAACUGAAAGGGGUUCGUAUGACGGAAGAAUGGAUGAAGGCUGCGGCUGUGAUUUCGAAAAAUGGCAGAGAGCU